rnacentral:rRNA from 1 species
UACGAAGGGGGCUAGCGUUGCUCGGAAUCACUGGGCGUAAAGCGCACGUAGGCGGAUUGUUAAGUCGGGGGUGAAAUCCUGGAGCUCAACUCCAGAACUGCCUUCGAUACUGGCGAUCUUGAGUCCGGGAGAGGUGAGUGGAACUCCGAGUGUAGAGGUGAAAUCGUAGAUAUUCGGAAGAACACCAGUGGCGAAGGGCGGCUCACUGGCCCGGUACUGGACGCUGAGGUGCGAAAGCGUG